UACACAUGCAGUCGAACGAUGAAGCCUUCGGGUGGAUUAGUGGCGAACGGGUGAGUAACACGUGGGCAAUCUGCCCUGCACUCUGGGACAAGCCCUGGAAACGGGGUCUAAUACCGGAUAUGACCUUCCUCCGCAUGGGGGUGGGUGUAAAGCUCCGGCGGUGCAGGAUGAGCCCGCGGCCUAUCAGCUUGUUGGUGGGGUAAUGGCCUACCAAGGCGACGACGGGUAGCCGGCCUGAGAGGGCGACCGGCCACACUGGGACUGAGACACGGCCCAGACUCCUACGGGAGGCAGCAGUGGGGAAUAUUGCACAAUGGGCGAAAGCCUGAUGCAGCGACGCCGCGUGAGGGAUGACGGCCUUCGGGUUGUAAACCUCUUUCAGCAGGGAAGAAGCGCAAGUGACGGUACCUGCAGAAGAAGCACCGGCUAACUACGUGCCAGCAGCCGCGGUAAUACGUAGGGUGCGAGCGUUGUCCGGAAUUAUUGGGCGUAAAGAGCUCGUAGGCGGCUUGUCGCGUCGGAUGUGAAAGCCCGGGGCUUAACCCCGGGUCUGCAUUCGAUACGGGCAGGCUAGAGUGUGGUAGGGGAGAUCGGAAUUCCUGGUGUAGCGGUGAAAUGCGCAGAUAUCAGGAGGAACACCGGUGGCGAAGGCGGAUCUCUGGGCCAUUACUGACGCUGAGGAGCGAAAGCGUGGGGAGCGAACAGGAUUAGAUACCCUGGUAGUCCACGCCGUAAACGGUGGGAACUAGGUGUUGGCGACAUUCCACGUCGUCGGUGCCGCAGCUAACGCAUUAAGUUCCCCGCCUGGGGAGUACGGCCGCAAGGCUAAAACUCAAAGAAAAUUGACGGA
rnacentral:rRNA from 2 species